rnacentral:lncRNA from 1 species
UGUAAGCAGCAUCAGAUUUGUAGCAAACAUAUAGGUGAAUAUGGGAACAACAAUCUAUAUCAACAGUUCAUGCAGUGUGAGCUUUGUGGCAUUUCUCCACUACUCCUUAUUUUGCCGCCUUAUCUUGAGAAUGUAUGGCACGGUCACUAUGAAAAGAGCUUUGUGUUUGAAUUCCUGGUCUUCAGGGAUUUUACAUUCUGUAGCUGGCAAAACAAGUCCCCAUUUAAAUAUUAAGCUUACUACAUUAAUGACUGCAGUAUGUCAACCCUUUGUGUAUUUCCUGUAACAUUAUUUUAGACUAUAUUUCUAGAAAUAAGUAAAUAGGGAUAUAUACAUAAUGCUGUGCUGGUUAACCUAUGUCAUCUUCUGUUCUAAUUGAAUAAAAUGCUUAUCCAGGCUAUCUUGAUUUAAACC